CCUACGGGAGGCAGCAGUGGGGGAUAUUGCACAAUGGGGGGAACCCUGAUGCAGCGACGCCGCGUGGGUGAAGGAGCGUUUCGGCGCGUAAAGCUCUAUCGGCAGGGAAGAAGAUGACGGUACCUGACUAAGAAGCCCCGGCUAACUACGUGCCAGAAGCCGCGGUAAUACGUAGGGGGCAAGCGUUAUCCGGAUUUACUGGGUGUAAAGGGGGCGGAGACGGCAAGGCAAGCCUGGAGUGAAAGCCCGGGGCCCAACCAUGGGACUGCUCUUGAAACUGCGUGGCUGGAGUGCAGGAGGGGCAUGCGGAAUUCCUAGUGUAGCGGUGAAAUGCGUAGAUAUUAGGAGGAACACCAGUGGCGAAGGCGGCCUGCUGGACUGUAACUGACGUUGAGGCCCGAAGGCGUGGGGAGCAAACAGGAUUAGAUACCCCAGUAGUC
rnacentral:rRNA from 1 species